GCUAAAGCAUUCUUUGCAGCAACGCAGCUGUCCUAAUCCACCGCAGCCAAUCAAUAAACACUUGACAGGUACUGAAAUACAAUAUAGAGUACAACACUGGCCUGCUGGUUCUUCUGCUCCAUUUAAACUGCAGUUUGACAGCUGAGGAGGGAAGCAGGGGGGAGAUGCAUUUGGAAAUGUCUCGAUUGGCCCCGACAGAGGGCUCCUAUAGAGGAGCAGACAAACACACACUGCAAAAAUCUUCAUUUUGUCAAGUGAGUUUUGUCUGUUAUUGAGACCUUAAAGAUGUAUUUUUUUUGCAUAUUUAGAUAAUUUUAUCCAGUUUCUGAUGGAAAAAGAAGACUUUUCUAGCGGUGUAAGUGCAGUAAUCUGCUUUGUUUAAAGUGUUUUGCAAGGAGGAAAUUGGAAACGCCCCGCAAAUGUUUGGGAGCCAUCCCAAACCGAAUCGAGGUGCCAUUACCCCGAUGGGUGCAGCACAGUGGGGCUGAAAAAUGUCCGGCUUGCUCUCUCUCGCUCAAUGAUUGUCUCAUCAGCAGGAGUAAUUUGGGUUUCUGGUUAUCGCGUCAUUUCUGAUGCCGACGAGGGGGAGAAACGGGGAGAGACGUAAUUACUUCUUUCGGCAGACGGAGAACAGAUGAGGAAAUGGGGAGUAAUUGAUAACUGGCUGGUACCCUCCUGGAGUAGAUGCUACCUCCCAGCACCACCGCCGCCUCCUCCUCCUCCUCCUCCUCCUCCUCCGAGAGAGACUUUACUCACUGUGAGAAACGAGUGGGAACAUACUCCAGUAGCAGCCUGAUGGAUCAGCAACAGGCGUUUCAAAGAGGGAGAAACAGAGAGAGAGAGAGAGAGAGAGAGUGGGGAGAAAAGAGAA